rnacentral:rRNA from 1 species
GACGAAGGUGGCGAGCGUUGUUCGGAAUCACUGGGCAUAAAGCGCACGUAGGCGGCGAUGUAAGUCGGAUGUGAAAUCCCUCGGCCCAACCGAGGAACUGCGUCCGAAACUGCAUUGCUUGAGGAUCAAAGGGGUGCUCGGAAUUUCCGGUGGAGCGGUGAAAUGCGUAGAUAUCUGGAGGAACACCGGUGGCGAAGGCGGCAUCCUGGACCAACACUGACGCUGAGUGAGCGAAAGCCAGGGGAGCAAACGGG